GGAGGGUUGGCCGAGAGGCCGAAGGCGCUCCCCUGCUAAGGGAGUAACUGGCGAAAGCUGGUUCCAGAGUUCGAAUCUCUGACCCUCCG
rnacentral:tRNA from 1 species